rnacentral:rRNA from 1 species
UGGACUGGCCGCCAGGGUCCGGAAGAGGAGCGAGUUCACUCGAUCAUCUACGUUACGUGGGUGGUGGGGAGCGACGAGCUCUGGGUUACUGUGAAGAAAUUAGAGUGUUUAAAGCAGGCAGGAAAGCUUGAAUAGACGAGCAUGGAAUAACAAGAUAGGACAUUGAGAGCCUCUUGUUGGUGAAGGGGGACGGAUGUAAUGAUUAAUAGGGUCAGUUGGGGGCAUUAGUAUUCAGUAGUCAGAGGUGAAAUUCUUGGAUUUACUGAAGACUAACUAGUGCGAAAGCAUUUGCCAAGGAUGUUUUCAUUAAUCAAGAACGAAAGUUAGGGGAUCGAAGACGAUCAGAUACCGUCGUAGUCUUAACUAUAAACGAUGCCGACUAAGGAUCGGCAGGGGUCGGUUAGCGACACUGUCGGGACUUUGUGAGAAAUCAAAGUUUAUGGGUUCUGGGGGGAGUAUGGUCGCAAGGCUGAAACUUAAAGGAAUUGACGGAAGGGCACCACCAGGAGUGGAGCCUGCGGCUUAAUUUGACUCAACACGGGAAACCUUACCAGGUCCGGACAUGGAGAGGAUUGACAGAUUGAAGAUCUUUCUAGAUUCUAUGGGUGGUGGUGCAUGGCCGUUCUUAGUUGGUGGAGUGAUUUGUCUGGUUUAUUCCGUUAACGAACGAGACCUCGGCCUUUAACUAGUCCCUCUGUCCAUUACGGAUGGAGGUCACUUCUUAGAGGGACAAACGG